rnacentral:misc_RNA from 1 species
GAUGAUAUAAAAUGCAUGCAUCAUUGGGACACGUGAAUAAACUAAUAUUAUAGCAGAUAAAGUCAAUCCUGAAUUCCCCAGAGUAAUUGUUCCGUGCCUGAUUUUCCACUGUAUGAAUCGGCUAUGAUUCUAGCAGGUAUAUGUAGACUGUUUAUUUUUUCUUUUAUCAGCAAAAUAUAUUAAGAGAGAAAGAAAUACGGAGGAUAUUAUACCCUAAUGAAACAGACUACUUCAGAACCCCAACGAGGAUGAAGCAACAAUAAAAAAGAACUUAACAAGAUUCAUAGAACCAAAACUAGAAACUAGCCACAAAAAAUGCAAAAAAAAAAAAGUAUUCAGGAAAAAGCAAUAAAAUCAUUAGAACGAAGCACUCCUUGCUUAGCUAGAUUAUCCGCAAAAGCAUUAGCCUCACGGGGGAUGCGUUUAACCAACAGAGCUGGAAGAUGACUCUGAUGAUGGAGUUGACCACUGAAAAGAGCCUCCAAGGAGCAGACUUCAAGUUAUGAAACCAAGAAACAACAUUCAUUGAAUCUGAUUCAAUGAGGAUGGAUCUAAUUGAAGAAAAGAUCUCCUGCUUACUGACACUAACUUCAAGAGUCUUUGAGAUAGCUAAAAGUUCUGCUGCAUUUGAGUCAAUGAUACCAACAAAACAGAAAAAAAACAGA